ensembl:misc_RNA 7SK 7SK RNA
GGAUUUGAGAGUGAUCUGGCUGUGACAUCUGUCACCCCAUUGAUCUUGAGGGUUGAUUUGGCUGGCUGCAGUGGUGUCCCCUUCAUCACCUCACUGCUCCAUGUGCAUCUCUCCCAACGCUGCACAUUCAGUCUACUGUGGAUGACCUUCCCUGAUAGAGGAGGACCAUCCACGGUACUGAGAAGAAAUAUGUUAAACUCUUUCUCUGAGUUAAUUGAUUUGUCUGUUUUUCAUUGUAGUUCAUUUAAUGUUUAUAAACAGAAAAGCUAUGUAAGUACAUUAAAUU